rnacentral:lncRNA from 1 species
GCUAACGGCGGGGUCCAGGUGAUUUCUGCGCUUGUCGAGUGUCCCAGUUCCUUGGCAUCCCAGGGGAGUUGGGCGAGAGACCGACCAGGGUAGACACCAGUGGGCAGAGAAGCAGAAGCUCUGCUGGAACGUGGAUAUGUUAAGUCGAAAAGGAACAUGGAGAAAUAUAUCCUCAGUUCACAGAAAGCAAUGAUUUGUUGGGGGAAAGAGCUUUACAGAAGAGCAGUCAGUGCAAAGGUCCUAAGAUGACUCCCUAAGAGAGUUCCAGUGCUAAAGUAAUCAAGAGAACACCACCCCCCAAAUUUUUAUCACACCUACAUGGACAUUAAGAAUUUUUUGGUUGGGGGCGCCUGGGUGGCGCAGUUGUUAAGCGUCUGCCUUCGGCUCAGGGCGUGAUCCCGGCGUUCUGGGAUCGAGCCCCACAUCAGGCUCCUCCGCUAUGAGCCUGCUUCUUCCUCUCCCACUCCCCCUGCUUGUGUUCCCUCUCUCGCUGGCUGUCUCUCUCUGUCAAAUAGAUAAAUAAAAUCUUUAAAAAA